rnacentral:lncRNA from 1 species
CUCUCUGUCCGUUUUUUUCAUUUUUUAUUUUUUUGUCCUGUGCUGAUUCAAUUUACAUCAGUCCCAAUCAAAAGGCAAAAUGAACAUAUAUUAACUGAUCUUUUGUUUAAGAAGAAAAAAGUUAUUAUCCAGGGAUGAUUGUUACACCAGGAGGACAGCCGGUCCGGUGGCUCAGGUCCGGUUCUCUUAUUAGGAAGUUCCUAGUUUUAAAGCCCAGCUCUGCCUCUGUUUCACUGUGCCUCCUUAUUUUUGCUCCUCCUGGACAACUGUCAGGGAUCAAGCGUUUUUUCGGGAGCGCGGAAUCUUCUGUCGGGUCUUGUGGUGCAGCAGAGCUCGCCGCUGUCCACUCUGGGCCGGUUGGGGACUGCGACUGGGUCCCGUGUGUGUCUGUAGGGACAGAUCACGCUGCAGUCACGGGGGGGGCGAAGCAAGGCAUGCUGGGAAGGUGAGCGAAUCCUAGCCGUACAGGAAGAGGAAGUGAGGUCAGCUGCUGUUGUUUUAGCCUUCCGCCUGGACCAAUCCCCCAUUUCGCCUUCCGUUUCCAUUUGCUACCUGCGCGUAGAUCACAUUGAAUUUGUCCUGUCUGCUGACGUUGGACUUCCUGGACGCCUUCACAGUGGCGUACUGCAACUCCUCCUCCUCGCCCUGAAGGAAAAAAAAAACGCCCUUGGCAUCAUCUUUUCUCAGCUCAGUGCAAAUCACAACUUACGACGGCAAAUAGCAAAUUUAAACAUUACGGGUUCUGUUGUGGGGCUAUGUAAUUUUCUAGAGUACCACAGGGGUCUGUACUGGGACCACUGCUCUUAAU